GGCGUCGGCGCGCAUCGCCCGCGCAAUCCCGCCGCAGGAGCCCAGCCGGCGCCGCUGCUAUCGGGGACCCUCCCCGGGUCCGCGGGACUUGUGCCCUCUGCGCUCAGAUCGCCAGACCCGAGCUACCCAAGUUGGCAGUUCCCGCCGCUUUUUUUCAGGGGGUCUCCAGAGGCAGCAGGAGUAGCGAAAAAGCAGAAGAACCCUAGCUGGGGUUGUGGCCCCUGUUUUUGA
rnacentral:lncRNA from 1 species